rnacentral:lncRNA from 1 species
UUUGAAGAUAAAAUGCAAUCACAGUAAACAAGACACGAACAAAAACUAAUGAAAGGGACUCAAGGGUAUUCCCGAGGGUAAAUCUUUGGGUGGUAGUACAUAGACAUUGAUCGAGUCAUGCGUCUGGUUUGAAAUAUUUCCGGAUCAUAGUAGUCUGCGAUGUCUGGCUCGCUCGUUGGAGAGGGGUCUCGCCUGCGUGUAGGAGCCUGCUUUGUUGAUAAGUACUGUUCAGAUGGUGGUGAACUGAAUGUCGGGCGAAAAGCGGGUGCAUCUGAUCUCAUUGUACUAGUCAUAGGUGCGUCUAAUCUCAUGGUGUUCUGUGCUACGACAUCUGAAUCGUGGGAGAUUGACCUGCUUACUGUAGGGACAUCGUCCUCUGCAUUUUGCAUGCAGUUUCCAAGGCCCAUGCCAUCCAUGUCUCUCUGUAUAUGUUCUUUCACCUUAUUGUGUGUAGGAGCUGUGAUAGAAGGACUAGGUGAAGGUGUAUGCGUAGGAGUCUUACUCACAGAAGGUCCCUCUCCAAAGAGCUUAAAAACCAAGUCCUCAAUAGCAAAUCUCAUGGUAGAUCCAACUUUCAUUCCAUGAUCCUUCUUAAAGUGAUCAAUCAGCAUAUGCUUGACACCAUGUCGCUCUGAGCUGAUCUCAGCCAACAACCCCUGUGCAAGAGUGGUUUGAGGAACUUUCCCGAUACCUGAUCCCUGCGCUGAUUGGGUACCAUCUGUGUGUGUCUUCAAUGGUGGAGAACUCAUAUGCGUCGGCUCAGGGGGUACAUCAGUAGUAGCUGUGGGAAUAGGAGCUAUGGAAGUAAUAAUAGGAGAAGUGGGUACCUUGAUAG